rnacentral:rRNA from 1 species
UACAGAGGGGGGCAAGCGUUGUUCGGAAUUACUGGGCGUAAAGCGUGCGUAGACGGUUAUGUAAGUCAGGUGUGAAAGCCCCGGGCUCAACCUGGGAAUUGCAUUUGAGACUGCAUAGCUAGGGUGCGGAAGAGGGGAGCGGAAUUUCCGGUGUAGCGGUGAAAUGCGUAGAUAUCAGGAGGAACACCGGUGGCGAAGGCGGAUCUCUGGACCAGUUCUGACACUGAUGAGCGAAAGCCAGGGGAGCAAACAGG